AAACGUAGGAGGCGAGCGUUAUCCGGAAUUACUGGGCGUAAAGGGCAUGCAGGCGGCUUGGUAAGUUGGACGUGAAAGCUCCUGGCUUAACUGGGAGAGUGCGUUCGAAACUGCUGAGCUUGAGGCUGGGAGAGGGGUGUGGAAUUCCCGGUGUAGUGGUGGAAUGCGUAGAUAUCGGGAGGAACACCAGUGGCGGAAGCGGCACCCUGGACCAGGCCUGACGCUGAUAUGCGAAAGCGUGGGGAGC
rnacentral:rRNA from 1 species